AUCAUUUGCGUGUGGUUUUGUUCAACAAAAACAAAGGCGGGGAAGAAAGAUACAAAACUAAAUUCUCUUUUGCAACCCAGACUCAUUGUUCAAUACGAGUUUGAAACAUACAAUAAGAAAUAUG